AUGGCGGCACAGUGGGAUCACCAGUCAGCACAUUUCAUUAAACUUGACCUUGACAAAACGGCCGUGCGCCCGGCACGGGGCGGGAGGGAAGGCGGCCGGACAGCGGGGGGCUCCGAGCCCGGCGCUGCGCCCUGCGGCUGGGGAACGCCCGGGCCGCUGCGGGGGUUUGCGAACCAGGCUGCUCCUCUGUGCUCCUACGAGCAGCAUUUCGGUCCCGGCACCAGGCUUACGGUCCUAGAAAACCUGGACAGGGUGAAUCCACCCAAGGUGGCUGUGUUUGAGCCAUCAGAAGCAGAGAUCGGCCAGAAAAAGAAGGCCACGCUUGUGUGCCUGGCCACAGGCUUCUUCCCAGACCACGUGGAGCUGAGCUGGUGGGUGAAUGGGAAGGAGACCCGCAGCGGGGUGAGCACGGACCCUCAGCCCUACAAGGAGCUUCCUGGCAACCCAAACUCCAGCUACUGCCUCAGCAGCCGCCUGAGGGUCUCAGCUGCCUUCUGGCACAACCCCCGCAACCACUUCCGCUGCCAAGUCCAGUUCUAUGGGCUCUCAGAGGAUGACCCCUGGGACCAGGAGGACCGGGCCAGACCUGUCACCCAGAAUGUCAGUGCUGAAGUUUGGGGCAGUGCAGACUGUGGCUUCACUUCCAUAUCUUAUCAACAAGGGGUCCUGUCUGCCACCCUGCUCUACGAGAUCCUGUUGGGCAAGGCCACCCUGUAUGCUGUGCUGGUCAGUGCCCUCGUGCUGAUGACCAUGGUCAAGCAAAAGCGUUCCUGAAGCCAGAUAUGAUAGUGCAUCCUGAAUCACUCUGCAUCUUCAUCCUGGAUUCUCCUGUCCCUACUCGUCCAUGUUCCUGAAGAGUUCUCCUUCCACCUCUCAUUCCCUCCCUGUGUGGACAUCUAUCCUUCCUCACUGCUUCCCUACAGACUGAGCACCUGGCCCUGAAUCAGAAACAGACUGAACCAAUAAACAUGGCAUGC